AUAUUGGUAAAAUGUCAUAUAAUUGACUCAUCAGAUCUAACCUAUCAGCAGAGGGAGGAAGUGAUGUAAACUCCCUAGGGGUAUAAAUAGGCCUCAGAAAUCUCUUCCAAAUCACUUGCCAUACAGGAAAGGAGGCAGCAACACAGGUCCUGAAUCUCUUAAUUUCUAGUUGGAAGUUAUAUCUUACCGGCCACUGUGGAGCUCAGAACCUACUUGUUGUCGAACUCUAAAGAAUUUUUAUUUUAGAAGAUGCACCUUAUUGGAUUUUAAGGAGCUUUUUAGCCCAACUUGUUAUCAUCGUGCUGAACUUUAAACUAAUUCAUCUGGUCAAGAUUAGACCAUCAGUGAGCAGGUGAAUUUGUAUUGGAAAACAUAUUGAACAUUGACUGACCAUAAUAUAGGAGUAGUUGAUCUCUAAUGAAGAUUAUCUCCAGAGACAGCCAAAAUUACAGAGAAUAAACUACCGUAUUAUAAAGAAGAAAUAAUCCACUCAGAGCAGUUAUAUUUGCACA